rnacentral:rRNA from 1 species
GACGAACGCUGGCGGCGUGCUUAACACAUGCAAGUCGAACGGAAAGGCCCUGCUUUUGUGGGGUGCUCGAGUGGCGAACGGGUGAGUAACACGUGAGUAACCUGCCCUUGACUUUGGGAUAACUUCAGGAAACUGGGGCUAAUACCGGAUAGGAGCUCCUGCUGCAUGGUGGGGGUUGGAAAGUUUCGGCGGUUGGGGAUGGACUCGCGGCUUAUCAGCUUGUUGGUGGGGUAGUGGCUUACCAAGGCUUUGACGGGUAGCCGGCCUGAGAGGGUGACCGGCCACAUUGGGACUGAGAUACGGCCCAGACUCCUACGGGAGGCAGCAGUGGGGAAUAUUGCACAAUGGGCGGAAGCCUGAUGCAGCAACGCCGCGUGCGGGAUGACGGCCUUCGGGUUGUAAACCGCUUUCGCCUGUGACGAAGCGUGAGUGACGGUAAUGGAUAAAGAAGCACCGGCUAACUACGUGC